rnacentral:rRNA from 1 species
AGAGUUUGAUCAUGGCUCAGAUUGAACGCUGGCGGCAUGCCUUACACAUGCAAGUCGAACGGCAGCGCGGGAGCAAUCCUGGCGGCGAGUGGCGAACGGGUGAGUAAUACAUCGGAACGUGCCCAAUCGUGGGGGAUAACGCAGCGAAAGCUGUGCUAAUACCGCAUACGAUCUACGGAUGAAAGCAGGGAAUCGCAAGACCUUGCGCGAAUGGAGCGGCCGAUGGCAGAUUAGGUAGUUGGUGGGGUAAAGGCUCACCAAGCCUUCGAUCUGUAGCUGGUCUGAGAGGACGACCAGCCACACUGGGACUGAGACACGGCCCAGACUCCUACGGGAGGCAGCAGUGGGGAAUUUUGGACAAUGGGCGCAAGCCUGAUCCAGCCAUGCCGCGUGCAGGAUGAAGGCUUUCGGGUUGUAAACUGCUUUUGUACGGAACGAAAAGGUUCUUUCUAAUAAAGAGAGCUCAUGACGGUACCGUAAGAAUAAGCACCGGCUAACUACGUGCCAGCAGCCGCGGUA